CCUCCCCCCACCUCGUCUCCCCCUCCCCCUCCCCCUCCUCCCCUUCAGUAAAUAAUUUUCACUCCAUCCAGAAAAGCUCUCUUCCUGUCUGCUCUCAAUGCCUCCUUCUUCCCCGCCCGGUGACGGGAUCCCCGUCUGUUUCCCUCUGUUUAAUGCCGUUGCCGGGACCACGGUGGCCGCGCGCCAGGGCGCAGGGAGUUCCGGAGGCGGCGGCGGCUCCUCGGCCAGCGCGCCCCCGGUCCGCCCGGGGCGGCUCCUGCGGCCACCCCGGGGCCACCGCGGUCGGUCCCCGGCCGCGGCCCCUGCGCUCCCUUCCGCCCGUCGGCGCGGCCUGCGCGCGGGUGUGUUUAUCGCCGCUACCAGGAGAGACGCUACACGGGUUUUAUUUUAAGGAUCGGUGACUAACGAAGUUAAAAGGAGCUGAGGACAGAAAACAAGACUAUUUUUAGAUUACUGUUGUUUCUGUGGAUUAUUGGGGCGAUGCACCCAGGGAAGCUGACCGUUUUCAAAGUCCCUUUGGGCGCCAGAUCCCUCCUCCGGGAGCGCACCUGAGUGUGGAGCGCCUGGAGCCCGGGCCGUGCCUGUCGCCUGGCUUUGAGUUUGUGCGCGAGUGCUGCCUAGAUGUGAUGUGUGCGGGCCGGGCCGGGCCGGGAGGGCCUGCUUGCGCUGCCCUGCAGCCGAGGCUCGGCGCCCUGCCCUGGGGGACCCGCUGGGGCCUGCGGGGUCCGAUCCUCCCGGCCGCCUCGGUCCGCACCCGCCAAGCGCAGCCGCUCCUGGGCCGGGGGUUCGGCCCGCCGCCCCUCUUCCUGUUACUCAGCUGGGCAACCGGUCACUUCUUGCUCCUGGACGUCACCUGGGACAUCGCGAGUUAGGGGAGAGCGCGGUUCCCGCUGGACCUGUGUUCCGGACCACGGCCGAGGCCACUCUGAAACCUCUUCCGUUUAGGGGCCCUGAGCCUCUGACCCCUGUCGGCCGCGGGUGGGGGGUUCUCCUUCCUCACGGCACCUCUCACCGGCAGGAAGGGGGCACCCAGGCGGGUCAGAGCUGCCAGGACGCGAGCUUGGGGUGAACUUGACAUCCACAGAGUGUGGAGACGGUGCUUACUAAGAAAUCACAACUACGGAGGGUCAUUGGCUUUCAGGUGAACUGCUGAUGUUUUUAAAAACUGCCAGGGCAGAUAAGUCUCACAACUGUUCCUGGAGUUGGGGAAGACGGGGUGCCCUCUGACGGCACCCGUGUCAGAGCAUUCGGACUCCCCCCCGGGUGCAGGUGUUCCGAGAGCUCCGUGAAUGUGGGCUUCUGAGAUUCUCCGCUGCACUUGACUCACAGAGUCUCUCUGUAACCCACCCCCUUCCCCUGGGGCCCUGCAGAGGCCCUUUUAUUGUCUCUCUGCCCAGACGCAGCCCGACCACCCAGUCCAGGCACCGCCAGGUCUAAAACCUCAGUCGUCACAGACUCACUCACCUUCCCUCCCCGGGGCACUUGCCCAGGGCACCAAGGUCAAGGCCAAAGUGGUCAGCCUGGCACCUGAUGGUCUCCCCGCUCCACACCUGGGGCAGCCGUGGGGGACCUCCUCACCAGGAAACCAGCCUCAGUCCCAGGGCCCGGAGGACCGUCUCCCCACCUGUAUUUGGCCAGGCACCAGAACCUUCCUCCAAGCCGCCUGCCGCCCCUGCCCAGGGUCCUCGCCUCCCCCUGCCUGGAGAACCUUCCGUGCCACCUGAGAAGUACGACCCCCCUGCUGUCGCGGUGGACUGUCUGUCCACGCCUGGCGGGUCCGGCUGCUUGAUGACGCAGUGAAGUUCUUCUGUCUCCUCGCUGGCCUUCGCUCGGCUUGCGUGAGCGCCGUGGACGGUGGGGCGACGCCGUCCGCAGCUACUGUGGGACAACCGUCUGUCUCUCCUUCUUUCCAGGGGUUUCUUCGCUGUGUGUGGGCGCUCUGCGGCUGCGUCCUCCUGACGGGUCGGGUAUCGAGCGUCCCUCUGUGUCGUUAAUCGCACCCUCGUGUUACAGUCCUUUCUGUCUGACGUUCGCGCGAGCCUCUCACCUCUGCCGGCCUGUAUCAGACGCUGCGUUGUACCGCGUUCGUCCAUUUGUGCCUUUGACCCCUAAGGGCUCUCCGUCUCCAGCUGGAAGGCGGAUGGUGGGGUUUCUGUUUGUUUCACUCGACAGUCUCUGCCCUUUGACUCGAUCGUCUGGUCGAUCCACAUUAAUGUUCUUACCGAUGCGGUCGGCUCUCCGUCUACGGCGCCGUUUUCUGCUUUUCUCGUGCCUCCCUUCUUCUCUUCCCUUCUGUUGCUUUCUCAGAAUGCCGGCCGACUCUUCCCUGAUGCGGCGUCUCAGUCACAAUCCGCUUCACGAGAUGCUCGCUUGCUUCUGGCGCCGGUGUGAACCUCAGUCCCAGGUACGCUCGCUCCCUUUUCCCGAGUUUACGAGAUCACGUGACACCCGGUCCUGGCAACGCCCCGCUAAUUCUCGCUCUCCCGGCUCCCUAGGCCACACGGCUCUGCCCUGCCCGCUUCGUCUGGUUGUUAUCGCGCGUGUGUUACACGUCCGUCACAUUUGUGUUAAUCACAGGCCCAAUGUCGUGUCACAGACACAUUGGUUUAGACAACUGCUUUCUGAAUUGGUUACGGAAGGAGGGAGAAAUGUUGUACGUUCGUCUUUACCGGCGAUCCGGCUUUUCGGGCGGACUCAGCCUCUGUCUGGGGCGCUUGACUUCAGCCUGAGGCGCGUCCUGCUCUAUCUUGCGAGCCGGGCGUUUUGCACACGCGGCCCACGGCCUCCGGGCCUGCGCAGGCCCUGCCCAGAAGUCACCGUCAGUCCCUCGUCGGGGGCGCAUUUCUCCCUCGCAACCUUCGGGAUGUUCUCCUCGUCUUCGGCUUUCGGCGUUCUCCUUUUCGGCCACGUGCGGGUUUGAGUCGGCGCUUAUCCCCAUCCAGCUUCCCGGGCACCUACGUCACUAUUCGGUGGUAGGUUGGUGACAUCGGCCCCCGCGUCUCCCUUUCCUUCUGCCCUCUGUCUCCCGCUGCGCACUUGGUGCCGCGAACCCCUUCCUCCACGCCCCCUGCGUCUUCUCCCCUGCAUUUCCGCCCCCUCGGCUGCAAUCUCCACUGGUCUGUCUUCGAGCCGAGGAAUUCUUUCUCCUGCCCGUCCCGGUCUUCUGUCCUCCGCUCUCGUGUACCUUUCCCUUUAGUGCCGGUGCCUUUCAACUCCAGAACCUCCGUUCGGCUCUUUGCUACGGGUUCUCCCUCUUCCUCCACAGUCUCCUUCACGUGACAUCCCUUCGCCUCUCGAGUUCCGCGGUACUUGGAGUUCUGCGGUGGGUACUCUGCGGUACUUUUCGGUGAAGUCUGGCACCUGCCGGCUCCCCCAGGCGGCCUCUCUGCCCGCCUGCUUUCCGACGCGUGUGGGUGCCUUCCUGCGUCUCGAGUGCCUCGUAAUGGUUUACUGGAAACUGGACGUUUUAGAUAAUAUAUCGUAGCAACGUGGGGUUCUGCCCCCCCCAUCGGGGGCCUGUUCCCGUCCUCCGCUUGCUUAUCUGUUCGGUGACUGGAUCAUCCAGUGACGUCUCCUGCCCUCCCGGGCUGUCCGGCCCCUGACGCUGCUCCCAGGGGCCAGAGUGGGGGUGUCUGCGCCCUGCUUCUCCUGCGGGGAAAGCCCUCCGGCGGGGGGCGGGCGCAGGGGCCCCGUGUGCCGGGCUGCAGCCUCCGGAGCGAGUCUCUGUCCUCACGAAGCCGAGGGCGGGGGCGGUCCUGGUUCAGACCCCGAUGCCUCGCGCCUUUCCUAAUGAAUUUUCCCAGAUUUUCUCGGAUAGGUGUUUCACGUGCUGCUUGCCUUCAGGACCGCGUCCACAGGCUUCAAGUGGUGGUUCUGUUUGAAGGCGUGUCCUCCGGUCCCACCUGGAGAGGCUCAGCGGCUGCCCGCAGCUCUCCUGGCGGCAUCCCUGCCUCGACCCGGUCUGUGUCCCCGCUGCCCCCCCCAGGCGCGCGGCCGUGAGGGUCUUCGCCUCCGUGAGGCUGUGAGACGGUGCCGCUCGCGUCACUGAUGCCUCCCGCUGGUCACUCAACACGUCGGACCCUUUAUUCCGGGGCAGCACGGUCACGGGUUGAACCACGUCCCCCGAGAAGACGGGUCAGAGCCCCAGCUCCUGGUCUGUGCCCACGGGGUCUUAUUCGGAAAGAGGGUCUUUGCAGACGUGAUUGGCUCCGAGGAGGCCAGUAGGUGUGCCCUAACCCAGUGUGACCGGCGUCCUUGUCAGAAGGGGUCACGUGGCGGCGUCACCACGUGGUGACGGAGGGCAGGGACCGGAGUGCCAGGUGCCGCCAGCACGUGGGGCUGGGCAGAGACGGGGAGGGCCCCCACGGGUUGGCGAGGGCCACGGCCCAGUGGUGCUUCGACUCGGAACUUCCGGAGGGUUGGCAGCUGUGUCGGCCGAGGUGACCGUCCGGCAUCCCCAGGGGUGGACACGGACACCGUGCGGUUUCAUCUCCUUCCGGGAUGUCCCCCGUGUCCUGUCCCGCGGCCCCCAUCCCCUGGAUGCCACCCAGCUCUCCCUAGAGGACGUGUCGCGGGAGCGUGGCCGCCAGCCACGGCCACCGCACUCCCCUGUCACGCAGCCUCUGCCUCGGGGCCUGGCCCACGGUCUCUGAGGGGUCAUGGGACCCCCCCCCCCAACUCCCCGCAGGCUUCCUGCACCUGCCGGAAGGAGGCGUCUCUUCCUCUGGGGUUUGGGGGGCCAGCCUGUGGCUCCUCCUGGAGAAACUCCGCCACCCGAGGCCGACGUGGAGGGAAGCAGAUCCGGAGGCGGGUUUGCGAGCGGUUCAAGCGUCUGGAUCCAGCCGGGCCCGCGGGCCUGUGAGCGUGUCGCCGGGCUGAGGACACGACUCCCCUCCUGCUCAGGCCGGCCUGACUGGUGCUGCCACGGCUCCGGGAGCUACGCGGCAAACAAGACACAGCAAGUGCACGUGGCCAGACACGAUCUCCUCCUCCUGCGUGCGGACGGGACGGCCCAGCUUCGGAGGCAGAUGAGAACCAAGCGAUGCCCGGAAGAGGCAGGAAGGAGGAGGCGCCGGGCCGCGUGGUCUGCCGGAGCCCACGGAGGAUGCUGCCUCGCUCUGCACCUGGAAUACUCUUGGGAAACACAAACUGGGCCGAGCCGGCGGUCCGCGGCGUGUGCCCGUCGGGCGGCGCGGGUUGUUGAAAUACCGCGGGGGGCUCCCGUGCCGGCCCGGACGAGCGGCCCCCGGGCCCCCCGCGCCCGUGCUCCCCGCCCGGCCAGCCCUGGGCGGCCACAGGCUCCCGGAGACGUCACGCUCCCGUUAACUGACCUGAGUUUCUAGCACGCGAGAGGCACCUGCAAACGGGGGGCCUCAGCCUUAUCGGCCCCACGUGCCCCGGGCUGAGAGGGUCCUUCUGGCCACGUCCAGGGAGGAGAGACCACUUCCUCACGCUGCGGCCUUGGCUCUUGUCACCCUCCCGCCUUUUGUUUCUGACAAUACUUGGGUUUGCACCUGUGAGUUCACAAUGUCUUCUAAUGGCAGCGUUGAAACGCGUCCCUUAAGCUAGCCGGCUUCCUGGAUCUGUUCAAUUAAGCGGCAACGAAACGGGAGUGUUUUUAUCCCCGGUCUUAGACAGGGAUGCCGGUCGUCUUCAUCCCCUUGUUCGAUUCUCCGUGACCUCCCUGUUAGGCCCGGUGCCGUGCUGAUGGGGGUGGGGGGGGGAGGGCUCUGCAGGACCGCCCCCCCCCCCCAGGCCCAGGCCGCGGCACAAGCCGGGUGCCCCUCCCCGCGUCCUGGCUCCAAACCCCAGGGAAUGGAGUGGAAUCCACCCCAAAUCCACGCAAGACGCGGAGCCCAGCCCGGGCUUGUUCGCUGAGCUCCCCCAAACUAUUUUUAAAGUGUUUUUGGUUCAAUAAAGGUCUAAACAAGUUUU